rnacentral:misc_RNA from 1 species
GAUGAAGAACGUAGCGAAAUGCGAUAAGUAAUGUGAAUUGCAGAAUUCCGUGAAUCAUCGAAUCUUUGAACGCACAUUGCGCCCCCUGGUAUUCCGGGGGGCAUGCCUGUCCGAGCGUCAUUGCAACCCUCAAGCGCGGCUUGUGUGUUGGGCUUCGUCCCCCCGUGGACGUGCCCGAAAGGCAGUGGCGGCGUCCCGAAUGGUGCCCGAGCGUAUGGGAACUCUCUUCCGCUCGAACCGGCCCAUUCGGCGCUGGUCGAACCCCAAUUUUUUUUACCGGUUGACCUCGGAUCAGGUAGGGAUACCCGCUGAACUUAAGCAUAUCAAGCGGAGGA